CCUCGCUUUCAAGAUGACCCAAUGGAACACCGAGCAGACCAGCCGUUGUGACAGCUGAGCACCAAGUUUGCUUCAGCAAAUUUCAGACCCGACCACGACUUUGACUUGACACGAAUGAAAGAAACAUGACACACUCAGGACAGGACAGAAGCCGGCCGGUAUAGCAGCACCAGCAGCUGAGAGCAUUUCAUUUGAUGGACACACACUAAAGGAGACAGUACCCUAAAUACACAGAACAUCACAAGCUACAAAAACUUCUGCAGCAGCACUUCGUUACCUUCUCAGCCUAUCAGAGCCUGAUGUCCUGGAAGCCUGCGUUGUCUCCCUGAGCCACCAGGGGGCCUCAGUCCCACAGCAGGACACAGGACAGCUCUGAGUUUGCCUUCACCCUGAACCCUACAGCCCCAGUCAAGCUGUCCCACUCUGCCUCCUCUCCCUCCUCUUCUUCUCCUUCUGCUCAUCUUUCUCCUCCCUCCUGGCCCCCA